rnacentral:rRNA from 1 species
AGAUUGAACGCUAGCGGGAUGCUUUACACAUGCAAGUCGAACGGCAGCGCGGACUUCGGUCUGGCGGCGAGUGGCGAACGGGUGAGUAAUAUAUCGGAACGUGCCCAGUAGCGGGGGAUAACUACGCGAAAGCGUGGCUAAUACCGCAUACGCCCUACGGGGGAAAGGGGGGGAUUCUUCGGAACCUCUCACUAUUGGAGCGGCCGAUAUCAGAUUAGCUAGUUGGUGGGGUAAAAAGCCCACCAAGGCGACGAUCUGUAGCUGGUCUGAGAGGACGACCAGCCACACUGGAACUGAGACACGGUCCAGACUCCUACGGGAGGCAGCAGUGGGGAAUUUGGACAAUGGGCGCAAGCCUGAUCCAGCAAUGCCGCGUGCAGGAUGAAGGCCUUCGGUUGUAAACUGCUUUGUACGGAACGAAAAGGUCCGUUUACUAAUAACAAGGGACCCAAUGACGGUACCGUAAACGGAAAUAAAGACAACCGGCUAACUAACGUAGCCAAGCAGCCGC